UACGUAGGGGGCAAGCGUUGUCCGGAAUUAUUGGGCGUAAAGCGCGCGCAGGCGGUCAUGUAAGUCUGAUGUGAAAAUCCAAGGCUCAACCUUGGGACUGCAUUGGAAACUGCAUGACUUGAGGGCAGAAGAGGGGAGUGGAAUUCCUAGUGUAGCGGUGAAAUGCGUAGAUAUUAGGAGGAACACCAGUGGCGAAGGCGACUCUCUGGUCUGUUACUGACGCUGAGGCGCGAAAGCGUGGGGAGCAAACAGG
rnacentral:rRNA from 1 species